AGAUCCCAAAGCCUGCUGUGUGUGCUGUGGACAUGCGUGGACCGUCAGGCUUCCUCUUAGCGGUUCAUUUCCUUUUCAGAUUAAAGGAAAUUUAAUAGCUUGUAGAGGUUUUACUCUUUUUAAUAAAGGUGGCUCAUUAAAUGUCAACCUCUAAUUUAUAUUCCUUAAGAGUACAUCUCCCAAGAACUAGUGUUUUAGUGCAUGAUCUUAGUAGCUAGUAUUUGAUAAAUGCACAGUACACCUCAUAUUGGGGUAAGCAUAUUGUGUUGUAGUCUUUAAUUUUCUCACAUCACCUAAGAGAUAAGGAUUGCCUUUCAAAACUGACAAAGGUCCGAGAUUCCCAUCAACUUGGAAGCAGAAGCAGCUUGCCAGUCUCUACAAACGGCCACAGAAGAUGUGAGAUUUCUUGUGUGUGUUUGUAUGUACAUAUUCAUUUGCAUUUAUGUGUGGGGGGCUUCAUGUGCACAUGUGUAUGUGUGCACAUGAGUACACAUGGGUGUGGAGGCCAGAAGUUGAUAUUAGGUAUCUUAUUGGAUUUCUCUUCACCUUAUUCUUUGAGGCAGGUUCUCGCACGGGACCCAAGGCUCACUGACUGAGGUAGAUUCACUUGUCCAUCCAGCCCCAGGGAGCCCGGGUCGACUUUCCAAGUAGAUGUUACCGAAAUUAUAGGCACGCCUCUUGCCACAGCCAGCUUUUUUGUGGUGGCUAGUGAUCAGAUCUCAGCUCCUCACAUUUGUGUGAUAAGCGUUUUGCUGACUAAGCUAUUUCCUUAGCUUAUAAGACGUGAAACUCUGAAGUCCAAAACUGAAGCCUUGUGUUACAACAACAGCAGCUGCCAGAGUUUCAGCUUGGUGGCUUAACUCCCUUGAGCCCAGUUUCCACAGAGGAGAUGCAAACUCUUGCUUCCACCAGGAACCCAAAGCCAGGGAAUAAGCCUGUUCUUGCCCCAGAGAGACAUAUUGUUUCGUUCUUCAGUGUUGCUUUGUGUGGAUGGACUUUUGAGACGUGGACAGCAUUGUUCGAGCAUCACAUUCAUACUCAGGGAACCCUGUAGGGGCAUCAGCGAAUCAUGGGAGACUGAUGCCGACAUUGUUGUCACCACCGAUCUAGAUGAGGACCAGCGCUUAGAGAGGCUAGGAAACCCAUCGG
rnacentral:lncRNA from 1 species